ensembl:misc_RNA Y_RNA Y RNA
GCCUGGUCCAUAUGCAGUGUGAUAAACUACAAGUAAUUUAUCACAACCAGUUACAGAUUUCUUUGUUCCUUCUCCACUCCCACUGCUUCACUUGACUAGCCUUAA